rnacentral:rRNA from 1 species
UCUUUCUUUGCUGGCGACCGGCGCACGGGUGAGUAACACGUAUCCAACCUGCCCUUUACUCGGGGAUAGCCUUUCGAAAGAAAGAUUAAUACCCGAUAGCAUAAUGAUUCCGCAUGGUUUCAUUAUUAAAGGAUUCCGGUAAAGGAUGGGGAUGCGUUCCAUUAGGUUGUUGGUGAGGUAACGGCUCACCAAGCCUUCGAUGGAUAGGGGUUCUGAGAGGAAGGUCCCCCACAUUGGAACUGAGACACGGUCCAAACUCCUACGGGAGGCAGCAUG